rnacentral:rRNA from 1 species
UACGUAGGUGGCAAGCGUUAUCCGGAAUUAUUGGGCGUAAAGCGCACGUAGGCGGCUUUACAAGUCAGGGGUGAAAGCCCGCGGCUCAACCGCGGAAUUGCCCUUGAGACUGUAUCGCUUGAACACGGGAGAGGUGAGUGGAAUUCCGAGUGUAGAGGUGAAAUUUGUAGAUAUUCGGAAGAACACCAGUGGCGAAGGCGGCUCACUGGACCGUAGUUGACGCUGAGGUGCGAAAGCGUGGGGAGCAAACAGG